rnacentral:rRNA from 1 species
UACGUAGGGGGCAAGCGUUGUCCGGAUUUAUUGGGCGUAAAGAGCGUGUAGGCGGCCAUACAGGUCCGUUGUGAAAACUGGAGGCUUAACCUCCAGACGUCGAUGGAAACCGUAUGGCUAGAGUCCGGAAGAGGAGAGUGGAAUUCCUGGUGUAGCGGUGAAAUGCGCAGAUAUCAGGAGGAACACCAAUGGCGAAGGCAGCUCGCUGGGACGUGACUGACGCUGAGACGCGAAAGCGUGGGGAGCAAACAGG